rnacentral:lncRNA from 1 species
GUUAUGUCAGGGCCUUGCACAGGGUUCCCAAGCCUGAAAGACUUAAACAAAGUCUUUAAGGGGGGAGUCCCCUGCUCUGGACAGUGGGGAGCAGAGGGCUUCCCCACAGCAGGAGGAGUAGACUCAGAAUAGGGUCUUAGAAUGCCUGGGACACAGGCUCACUGAGUCCUAGUAACCCCUAAAAUAUACAGUCAGGUUUCUAAGCCUAGAGGGAUGUUUACAAUUUAAAAAAAAAAUUCUGUAUUAUUUUAUUUUUACAGUUCUGGGCAUUGAACCAGCUCACGACUCUACCAGUGAACUACAUCCCCAGCUCUUUUUAUUUUCUAUUUUGAGAUGCCCACACAGACCUCGAAUUUAUGAUCCUCCUGGCUCAGCCUCUGGGAUUAUGGGCCCAAACCACCACGCCCUGUUGCACUGUUUGCAUUUUGAUUCAAACUCAUUUACAAGCCAAAGCGGGGCAGUGGAGACAACCCUGGCCUCUCUGCCUCUCUCAGGGCAGAGGCUGCCCAGCCAUGUGCACUACCCACACUGACACAAUAAACCCCAGAGGCCUCGUGGCCACGUCAACUUUGUUCCUUUAGCCUUCAAAAGUGUCACUCCCUCCAGAGAGUCUCUUCUGGUCUCCCUGACUAGGAGAAGUCAUCCCCUCUUCAUCCGCCAAGUUCUCAAGGCACACUGGCCGCACACACUGCAGUCUGUUCUCAUGUGUAGUUGGUUUCUCCACCCAGCCUCAUGCCCCCAGUGCUU